UACGAAGGGGGCUAGCGUUGCUCGGAAUCACUGGGCGUAAAGCGCACGUAGGCGGCUCUUUAAGUCAGGGGUGAAAUCCUGUAGCUCAACUCCAGAACUGCCCUUGAUACUGAGGAGCUUGAGUCCGGGAGAGGUGAGUGGAACUGCGAGUGUAGAGGUGAAAUUCGUAGAUAUUCGCAAGAACACCAGUGGCGAAGGCGGCUCACUGGCCCGGUACUGACGCUGAGGUGCGAAAGCGUGGGGAGCAAACAGG
rnacentral:rRNA from 1 species